rnacentral:rRNA from 1 species
GACGUAGGAGGCGAGCGUUGUCCGGAGUUACUGGGCGUAAAGGGUGCGCAGGCGGCCCCUUAAGGUGGCGGUGAAAGCUCCUGGCUCAACUGGGAGAGGGCCGUGACGACUGGGGGGCUUGAGGCUCGGAGAGGGACGUGGAAUUCCGGGUGGAGCGGUGAAAUGCGUAGAUAUCAUUUGGAACGCCAAUGGUGAAAACAGGUAGCUGGGAGUGUGCUGACACUGAGACACAAAAGCCAGGGGAGCAAACGGG